rnacentral:rRNA from 1 species
CCCUUAGAUGUCCUGGGCCGCACGCGUGCUACACUGACGCCUACAGCGAGUACUUCCCAGCCCCGAGAGGCGGCUGGUAAUCAGCAAUAGGCGUCGUGAUGGGGAUAGAACUUUGGAAUUAUUGUUCUUGAACGAGGAAUGCCUAGUAAGCGCACGUCAUUAGCGUGCGCUGAUUAAGUCCCUGCCCUUUGUACACACCGCCCGUCGCUCCUACCGAUUUCGAGUGGUCCGGUGAAUAAUUCGGACUGCAGCACUGCUUGGUCUCCAGGCUUUGCAGCGGAAAGUUUAGUGAACCUUAUCACUUAGAGGAAGGAGAAGUCGUAACA